UUGAAAUAUUCAAGUUGAAUAAUGUUGCAAAAAUGAUGCAAAAUGGGGAAAUUAUGAUAUAUUUCAAUGAUAUUCUCAUGCAAUACAGCAACAAUAGUGUG